rnacentral:rRNA from 1 species
ACUCCUACGGGAGGCAGCAGUGGGGAAUAUUGCACAAUGGGCGCAAGCCUGAUGCAGCGACGCCGCGUGAGGGAUGACCGCCUUCGGGUUGUAAACUUUUUUCAGCAGGGAAGAAGCCCAAGUGACGGUGCCUGCAGAAGAAGCGCCGGCUAACUACGUGCCAGCAGCCGCGGUAAU